AUCAGGUACAUUACCCGCUGCCACUGAGGACCCCUCUUCUCUCUCUUCCACAACAGCACUGCCCCCAGGAGAGGCAGCCCCUUGCCGGCCAGCCACCUUGGCCAGAGUGCCCAGAGCAUGGCCAGGCAGCCAGGCCCAGCAAGGAGCCCUGCCUGCUUCCUAGAGCCGCCCUGCUCUCUGGCUACACGCGCUGCUAGCUCAGAUCUGACAGACAGCAGCAGCCAGCAUUCCUUCCUCCUCCCUCCUUGAUGGAGUCCAAGGCUGUCCCUCCCUAGCUCUCCUGAUAAGGACCAUGCCAGAGCAGAAGGAUGGAUGCGAUUGGGGCAAAGGGGUCGUAGGAGUUGUUCUGCCCACCAUCCUCUGCUGCACGUAGCAGGAAACAAUUCUUCACCUGCCAGUUUGGCUCAGAAACAAAGAACUGAACAGGGCAGGUGGAAGGGGGUCAGCUAUCCCUGUUUACAAAAACCCUCAUUAAACCCCCUUCUGUGCUGACUCUCUUUUCAGACUCAGCCCACCCACACCCGGGUGAAUAAACGAGCCACGUUGCUCUCACAUA